rnacentral:lncRNA from 1 species
CACUUUGAUGCAUUUGGAUUUAGCAAUUUCAGUUAUUACGUACACGAGUCUUUCUUGAUUAUAUUGCUUUCAAUAUGGUUAUCAUAUCUACUCACAGUCAUCUCCCUUUUGCUGAAUAGAAUUGAGAAGCUGAAGCGUGGUUUUGGUAUGCACGUCCCUGAAGAGUUUAGGUAGCUGGAUAUAAUGCGGGGUUCCUUCAUUUCUAAUAAUCAGUUUAAUCACCUCCCUCGGAGCUACCUAUUGGAGGGCAAGUUUGUGAUUUCUACUAAACUUGACAUGGACGCUUUUUAAGUAGUACUUGGAGUGUUGGUGAGCAGCAGAUGUAGCACUCAAGCUGUGAUCACAUGAUCUUGUGGUUGUACUAUUGAUGACCUUGGUCCUACUAAUUUAGUUUAUUUGCUGAAAGCUAUGUUUGGAAAUGAUGCAAUCUGCGAGGCAACACUAAUUUCUGUGCAGCCUGUACUUAUGAGUGUUAUUGUCUUGAUGUAUUUUUCUCACCACGGGAAGCCUUAGGUAUACGUACAAUUAUCGCCUUGUAAUAUGUUCGUAGUGCUAUACUUCUCUAAUAUAUUUAUAUAUGUAAAUAUAUAUGUUACUCUUGUAUCAUCUCUUCCUAGUAUCAUAUGGUGCUUUGCUUCCGUGAGCUUGUGUAUUAGAAGUUGUUAAAUAUUGUGUAUUAGAAGUUGUUAAAUAUUCAUUCGUGGCGGCCAUGUCUGCACCCAAGCUCAAAUGAGCUAUGUUGAACCGUAAAAUCAGAAAUAUAUAUAAAAAGAUCUAGUUUCAUUAUGGUAAACUAUGACAAAUGUUCUAAGAGUUUGCAAUAUUUCAUCACAAAAUCACAUUUGGAGUUGUAGCGAAAAAACAAAAUUGAUACUCUAAAAAUGCUAUUAUCGAAAGCAUUUUAAAGCACUAAUUUUGUUUUUUCGUCAUCACUUUAAUAAAUGUGUUUUAGUGAUGAAAUUUUGAAACCUUUUAGAACAUUUAUCAUAAACAAGUUCAGCUUUUUUGAAAUAUUUUAAAUAUUUUCGGAGUUGUUAAUCUCGGCUUAUUUGAGCUGUGGUGUAGAAAGGCAUUUUUGACACGCUUGUUAUCUAUAUGACCAAAUCCUAACUGAGCUUGCUCGUAGUUGCACAAAUUUGACAUUGCUUGUGGCACUCUGUGUUCAUAUCUUCGCUCUGUUGUUCGUCAUGGAAAAAAAAUUAGGGCAAGCGUGUGAAGGCUAUGAAAAGCCACUUUGGAUUUGCAGGAAGUUUUGCGGUGGAUAAUGAAGGCUUAAGUGGUGGCAUUGGUCUUUUCUGGUCCAAAGAUGUUGAUGUGGAACUAUUUUUUUAGUACCGACCACAUUGAUGUUGUGGUGUGGAACAAGGAUCAUCUUUCUCGUGAAUGGUGUUUUACGAGUUUCUAUGGAGCUUCGAAAGUCAAUGCUAAUCUCCGUUAGAGCGGUGUGGAGGCACAAUGCUCCCCAAGAUGCCACUAAGGCCACCGUAAUAUCCUCACGCCCUCGCAGAAUGCAAGAUGCCGUGAUUCCACUAAGGGACCCUUGAGGGCGGUCACCGAACCCGUACAAAUGGCAAACCUUGGGGGCGGUCACCGAACCCGUACACGUGGCAACCCUUGGGGGCGGUUACCGGUACCCGUACAAAUUGCUCGGGGCUAUCUCCACAACCUAAUUGGAGGCCCCGACGCUUGCCUGGAGCUUCACACCACAAUGAUUGAGCUCCGAGACACCACCAAGCUUCUAGUAUGCCAAAGCAUCCACGAAGAACAAUAUCUAGGGUACUAAGUACCAAAGGUAGUAAGCUUCUCAACUUCUCACUUCCACGUAUCACCGUGGAGAACUCAAACUGAUGCAACUAACGCAAUGGCAAGAACACACAAAGUGGUCAAGUCCCUCACACUCAAAUCCCUCCACAACAACAAAAGCUAUGGAGAAAUAUGAGAGGAAGAACAAGGAGCUCACAAAGAACUCCAAGAUCUAGAUCCAAGGGGUUCCCCUCACAUAGAGGAGAAAGUGAUUGGUGGAGAUGUGGAUCUAGAUCUCCUCUCUCUUUUCCCUCAAGAACAAGCAAGAAUCAUUGGAGGGAUUGAGAGUUAGCAAGCUCUAAGAAUGUCAACAAUGGAGGUAGAACAAGAGCUCAACGGAUAGAUGAGGCCAAGGGGGAAGAAGACCCCCUUUAUAUAGUGGGGGAAGGAAUCAGACCGUUACCCCCACUAUCUGCCCGAGCUCCAGCGGUACUACCGCCAACUAGCGGUACUACCGCUGGCCCGAGCGGUACUACCGCUGGGCCCCUGGUAGUGCAAAGGCACUACCACCGCCAAGAAAGUCUUCGCAAAAAGGUCCGUCCACGAACAACCGCUAGGCAAGCGGCACUAACCUCCUGGAGCGGUACUACCGCUGACCAGUGGCGAUACUACCGCCAGCCAGCGGUACUACCGCUAGGGCCAGUGGUACUACCGCCAACUCUAGCGGUACUACCGCUAGGUCCAGCGGUACUACCGCUCGCCACUGAAACAGCCAUAACUUUCGCAUACGAGCUCCGAAUCGAGCAAACCAAGGCUUGUUGGAUUCAGGACGACAAGAGCUAUCCAAACAGCCUUUCUCAUGGCAAACAUCCUUUAGGAAGUGUACAUAGAUUUAACACUGAACCCCUUUUUUCCCUAGCAUCCACACCUUCAUCAGUCAAUGUGGUGGAGUGGCAAACAUCCAGUAGGCCUUGCCAUUGCACAGCCAAUUCCCCCCGCAAGCAUCUAUGAGAUUGGAGACAUGUCCCUUGAGAGUGAACAACUUAUAAACAAUUGACAGUUUUGCCAAAUGUAAGGUUAUAUAGACUUUUAAAUCUGGAAAUAAUAGAUGGCAUCCAUGUGAUUGGCAAUUAAAACCAUGUUUGCUUAGUUUUGAGUCCGUCUGUUCUCGGUGGUGCGAGCUCAUGCUGCAUUUUGAGAUUGUGUACAUAAGAUGGUAAGACUGUUUGUAGGAGGAACUGGCUAGAGCCAUGGAUAUCUUAAGGUGGAGAAACAAGUAAACAUCCAUGGAUACCAGCUAAGGGAAUGUAAUGGAAGAUAAUCCAUGGAUACCAGCUAAGGGAAUGUAAUGGAAGAUAAAUUCUACAUAGUUUGCCAUGGAUUUUCAGUCAUGUCCUAAGCCACAUAUACUCUAUGUGCCCCCUGGCUUUCUGUUGGGCCUUGUAUAUUUGGUUUCUGGGAAGUACCGAGUUAGAAGAAAACUGUGCUAAGUGCUUACCUAGCAUAUAUUACCAGCCAUCCUCGUUAAGUGAAGUGCCAUUUGGAACACUAUUUUGAGCCAUAAUACAGUUUUACCUAUGACAAUGACUUGUUUCUCCUAGUCACAACUCUCCAAUCUUUAGCAUGAACUAACCUUAUUUGACACUCAAGUUUAACUGUACUUCCAAGUUUUUGAAGUUGAUUCGAGAAGUUCACUCUCUCCAAUCCAGGAUGUAGGAGAGUUGGGCACAUGAUUAAUGGUGUAGGUAGCAAUGUUACCAUUUAUUUGUUUCUACAAUAAAUACAAGUGCUAGAGUUUCUUGUGGCAGCACAAUCAAUACUAGAGUUAUUACUAAUACUUGAUGAAACUAAUGAGGCGCUAAAUAAGCACACCAUGAGCAGAAAUAUGAUGUACUAAACUACCAGGCCUUAUUUGUCAGUUGAAAAGGCUAAACCACAAUUUUCCGUAUUUGCCAGUCAUUGCUACUAAAUCUCGUUAGACUAAAUUAUCAGUUCCUCUAUAUCCGCAACCCGAGCCUUCAAGUUCAAAACCUUAUCUAGUCUAGAUUAAAUAAAUAUCACAUGUCACAAAGUAAAGCGAAGCAAUUGGUCUUUCCUUGUGCUUUCUAUUAGAACAGUCUCUUUCUAUCUGUGUUCCUGUAUUAUUCAGCUGCCACAUUUUGGUUCUUUAAUUGUCAACAAGUCCAAGUUUUUCAGCCACUUUGAUGCAUUUGGAUUUAGCAAUUUCAGUUAUUACGUACACGAGUCUUUCUUGAUUAUAUUGCUUUCAAUAUGGUUAUCAUAUCUACUCACAGUCAUCUCCCUUUUGCUGAAUAGAAUUGAGAAGCUGAAGCGUGGUUUUGGUAUGCACGUCCCUGAAGAGUUUAGGUAGCUGGAUAUAAUGCGGGGUUCCUGCAUUUCUAAUAAUCAGUUUAAUCACCUCCCUCGGAGCUACCUAUUGGAGGGCAAGUUUGUGAUUUCUACUGAACUUGACAUGGACGCUUUUUAAGUAGUACUUGGAGUGUUGGUGAGCAGCAGAUGUAGCACUCAAGCUGUGAUCACAUGAUCUUGUGGUUGUACUAUUGAUGACCUUGGUCCUACUAAUUCAGUUUAUUUGCUGAAAGCUAUGUUUGGAAAUGAUGCAAUCUGCCAGGCAACAAUAAUUUCUCUGGAGCCUGUACUUAUUAGUGUUAUUGUCUUGAUGUAUUUUCUCACCACGGGAAGCCUUAGGUAUACGUACAAUUAUCGGCUUGUAAUAUGUUCCUAGUGCUAUACUUCUCUAAUAUAUUUAUAUAUGUUACUCUUGCAUCUCUUCCUAGUAUCAUAUGGUGCUCUGCUUCCGUGAGCUUGUGUAUUAGAAGUUGUUAAAUAUUGUGUAUUAGAAGUUGUUAAAUAUUGAUUGGUGGCGGCCAUGUCUGCACCCGAGCUCAAAUGAGCUAUGUUGAACCAUAAAAUCAGAAAUAUAUAUAAAAAGAUCUAGUUUCAUUAUGGUAAACUAUGACAAAUGUUCUAAGAGUUUGCAAUAUUUCAUCACAAAAUCACAUUUGGAGUUGUAGCAAAAAAACAAAAUUGAUACUCUAAAAAUGCUAUUAUCGAAAGCAUUUUAAAGCACUAAUUUUGUUUUAUUGUCAUCACUUUCAUAAAUGUGAUUUAGUGAUGAAAUUUUGAAACCUUUUAGAACAUUUAUCAUAAAAAAGUUCAGCUUUUUUGAAAUAUUUUAAAUAUUUUCGGAGUUGUUAAUCUCGGCUUAUUUGAGCUCUGGUGUAGAAAGGCAUUUUUGACACGCUUGUUAUCUAUAUGACCAAAUCCUAACUGAGCUUGCUCGUAGUUGCGCAAAUUUGACAUUGCUUGUGGCACUCUGUGUUCAUAUCUUCGCUCUGUUGUUUGUCAUGGAAAAAAAUGUUGAUGUGGAACUAUUUUUUUUAGUACCGACCACAUUGAUGUUGUGGUGUGGAAGAAGGAUCAUCUUUCUCGUGAAUGGUGUUUUACGAGUUUCUAUGGAGCUUCGAAAGUCAAUGCUAAUCUCCGUUAGAGCGGUGUGGAGGCACAAUGCUCCCCAAGAUGCCACUAAGGCCACCGUAAUCUCCUCACGCCCUCGCACAAUGCAAGAUGCUGUGAUUCCACUAAGGGACCCUUGAGGGCGGUCACCGAACCCGUACAAAUGGCAAACCUUGGGGGCGGUCACCGAACCCGUACACGUGGCAACCCUUGGGGGUGGUUACCGGUACCCGUACAAAUUGCUCGGGGCUAUCUCCACAACCUAAUUGGAGGCCCCGACGCUUGCCCGGAGCUUCACACCACAAUGAUUGAGCUCCGAGCCACCACCAAGCUUCUAGGAUGCCAAAGCAUCCACGAAGAACAAUAUCUAGGGUACUAAGUACCAAAGGUAGUAAGCUUCUCAACUUCUCACUUCCACGUAUCACCGUGGAGAACUCAAACGAAGCAACUAAUGCAAUUGCAAGAACACACGAAGUGGUCAAGUCCCUCACACUCAAAUCCCUCCACAACAAAAAAGCUAUGGAGAAAUAUGAGAGGAAGAACAAGGAGCUCACAAAGAACUCCAAGAUCUAGAUCCAAGGGGUUCCCCUCACAUAGAGGAGAAAGUGAUUGGUGGAGAUGUGGAUCUAGAUCUCCUCUCUCUUUUCCCUCAAGAACAAGCAAGAAUCAUUCGAGGGAUUGAGAGUUAGCAAGCUCUAAGAAUGUCAACAAUGGAGGUAGAACAAGAGCUCAACGGAUAGAUCAGGCCAAGGGGGAAGAAGACCCCCUUUAUAUAGUGGGGGAAGGAAUGACACCGUUACCCCCACUAUCUGCCCGAGCUCCAGCGGUACUACCGCUGAUUGCAGCGGUACUAGCGCCAGCGAGUGGUACUACCACUGGCUGCAGCGGUACUACCGCUGGCCCGAGCGGUACUACCGCUGGGCCCCUGGUAGUGCAAAGGCACUACCAUCGCCAAGAAAGUCUUCGCAAAAAGGUCCGUCCACGAACAACCGCUAGGCAGGCGGUACUAAGCUCCUGGAGCGGUACUACCGUUGACCAAUGGCGGUACUACCGCCAACCAGCGGUACUACCGCUAGGGCUAGCGGUACUACCGCCAACUCUAGCGGUACUACCGCUAGGUCCCGCGGUACUACCGCUCGACACUGAAACAACCAUAACUUUCGGAUACGAGCUCCGAAUCGAGCAAACCCAAGCUUGUUGGAUUCAGGACGACAAGAGCUAUCCAAACAGCCUUUCUCAUGGCAAACAUCCUUUAGGAAGUGUACAUAGAUUUAACACUGAACCUCUUUUUUCCCUAGCAUCCACACCUUCAUCAGUCAAUGUGGUGGAGUGGCAAACAUCCAGUAGGUCUUGCCAUUGCACAACCAAUUCCCCCCGCAAGCAUCUAUGAGAUUGGAGACAUGUCCCUUGAGAGUGAACAACUUAUAAACAAUUGACAUUUUUGCCAAAUGUAAGGUUAUAUAGACUUUGAAAUCUGGAAAUAAUAGAUGGCAUCCAUGUGAUUGGCAAUUAAAACCAUGUUUGCUUAGUUUUGAGUCCGUCUGUUCUCGGUGGUGCGAGCUGAUGCUGCAUUUUGAGAUUGUGUACAUAAGACGGUAAGACUGUUUGUAGGAGGAACUGGCUAGAGCCAUGGAUAGCUUAAGGUGGAUACCAGCUAAGGGAAUGUAAUGGAAGAUAAUCCAUGGAUACCAGCUAAGGGAAUGUAAUGGAAGAUAAAUUCUACAAAGUUUGCCAUGGAUUUUGAGUCAUGUCCUAAGCCACGUAUACUCUAUGUGCCCCCUGGCUUUCUGUUGGGCCUUGUAUAUUUGGUUUCUGGGAAGUACCGAGUUAGAAGAAAACUGUGCUAAGUGCUUAACUAGCAUAUAUUACCAGCCAUCCUCGUUAGUGAAGUGCCAUUUGGAACACUAUUUUGAGCCAUAAUACACUUUUACCUAUGACAAUGACUUGUUUCUCCUAGUCACAACUCUCCAAUCUUUAGCAUGAACUAACCUUAUUAGACACUCAACUUUAACUGUACUUCCAAGUUUUUGAAGUUGAUUCGAGAAGUUCACUCUCUCCAAUCCAAGAUGUAGGUUUCUUUUAGAGUUGGGCACAGGAUUAAUAGUGUAGGUAGCAAUGUUACCAUUUAUUUGUUUCUACAAUAAAUACAAGUGCUAGAGUUUCUUUUGGCAGCACAAUCAAUACUAGAGUUAUUACUAAUACUCGAUGAAACUAAUGAGGCGCUAAAUAAGCACACCAUGAGCAGAAAUGUGAUGUACUACAGUACUAGGCCUUAUUUGUCAGUUGAAAAGGCUAAACCACAAUUUUCCGUAUUUCCCAGUCAUUGCUGCUAAAUCUCGUUAGACUAAAUUAUCAGUUCCUCUAUAUCCGCAACCCCAGCCUUCAAGUUCUAAACCUUAUCUAGUCUAGAUUAAAUGAAUAUCACAUGUCACAAAGUAAAGCGAAGCAAUUGGUCUUUCCUUGUGCUUUCUAUUGGAACAGUCUCUUUCUAUCUGUGUUCCUGUAUUAUUCAGCUGCCACAUUUUGGUUCUUUAAUUGUCAACAAGUCCAAGUUUUUGCAGCCACUUUGAUGCAUUUGGAUUUAGCAAUUUCAGUUAUUACGUACACGAGUCUUUCUUGAUUAUAUUGCUUUCAAUAUGGUUAUCAUAUCUACUCACAGUCAACUCCCUUUUGCUGAAUAGAAUUGAGAAGCUGAAACGUGGUUUUGGUAUGCACAUCCCUGAAGAGUUUAGGUAGCUGGAUAUAAUGCGGGGUUACUGCAUUUCUAAUAAUCAGUUUAAUCACCUCCCUCGGAGCUAGCUAUUGGAGGGCAAGUUUGUGAUUUCUGCUGAACUUGACAUGGACGCUUUUUAAGUAGUACUUGGAGUGUUGGUGAGCAGCAGAUGUAGCACUCAAGCUGUGAUCACAUGAUCUUGUGGUUGUACUAUUGAUGACCUUGGUCCUACUAAUUCAGUUUAUUUGCUGAAAGCUAUGUUUGGAAAUGAUGCAAUCUGCCAGGCAACACUAAUUUCUCUGCAGCCUGUACUUAUGAGUGUUAUUGUCUUGAUGUAUUUUCUCACCACGGGAAGCCUUAGGUAUACGUAAAAUUAUCGUCUUGUAAUAUGUUCCUAGUGCUAUACUUCUCUAAUAUAUUUAUAUAUGUAAAUAUAUAUGUUACUCUUGUAUCAUCUCUUCCUAGUAUCAUAUGGUGCUUUGCUUCCGUGAUCUUGUGUAUUAGAAGUUGUUAACUAUUGUGUAUUAGAAGUUGUUAAAUAUUCAUUGGUGGCGGCCAUGUCUGCACCCGAGCUCAAAUGAGCUAUGUUGAACCGUAAAAUCAGAAAUAUAUAUAAAAAGAUCUAGUUUCAUUAUGGUAAACUAUGACAAAUGUUCUAAGAGUUUGCAAUAUUUCAUCACAAAAUCACAUUUGGAGUUGUAGCGAAAAAACAAAAUUGAUACUCUAAAAAUGCUAUUAUGAAAGCAUUUUAAAGCACUAAUUUUGUUUUUUCGUCAUCACUUUCAUAAAUGUGAUUUAGUGAUGAAAUUUUGAAACCUUUUAGAACAUUUAUCAUAAAAAAGUUCAGCUUUUUUGAAAUAUUUUAAAUAUUUUCGGAGUUGUUAAUCUCGGCUUAUUUGAGCUCUGGUGUAGAAAGGCAUUUUUGACACGCUUGUUAUCUAUAUGACCAACUCCUAACUGAGCUUGCUCGUAGUUGCGCAAAUUUGAAAUUGCUUGUGGCACUCUGUGUUCAUAUCUUCGCUCUGUUGUUCUUCAUGGAAAAAAAUGUUGAUGUGGAACUAUUUUUUUAGUACCGACCACAUUGAUGUUGUGGUGUGGAAGAAGGAUCAUCUUUCUCGUGAAUGGUGUUUUACGAGUUUCUAUGGAGCUUCGAAAGUCAAUGCUAAUCUCCGUUAGAGCGGUGUGGAGGCACAAUGCUCCCCAAGAUGCCACUAAGGCCACCGUAAUCUCCUCACGCCCUCGCACAAUGCAAGAUGCCGUGAUUCCACUAAGGGACCCUUGAGGGCGGUUACCGAACCCGUACAAAUGGCAAACCUUGGGGGCGGUCACCGAACCCGUACACGUGGCAACCCUUGGGGGCGGUUACCGGUACCCGUACAAAUUGCUCGGGGCUAUCUCCACAACCUAAUUGGAGGCCCCAACACUUUCCCGGAGCUUCACACCACAAUGAUUGAGCUCCGAGACACCACCAAGCUUCUAGGAUGCCAAAUCAUCCACGAAGAACAAUAUCUAGGGUACUAAGUACCAAAGGUAGUAAGCUUCUCAACUUUUCACUUCCACGUAUCACCGUGGAGAACUCAAACCGAUGCAACUAAUGCAAUGGGAAGAACACACGAAGUGGUCAAGUCCCUCACACUCAAAUCCCUCCACAACAACAAAAGCUAUGGAGAAAUAUGAGAGGAAGAAUAAGGAGCUCACAAAGAACUCCAAGAUCUAGAUCCAAGGGGUUCCCCUCACAUAGAGGAGAAAGUGAUUGGUGGAGAUGUGGAUCUAGAUCUCCUCUCUCAUUUCCCUCAAGAACAAGCAAGAAUCAUUGGAGGGAUUGAGAGUUAGCAAGCUCUAAGAAUGUCAACAAUGGAGGUAGAACAAGAGCUCAACGGAUAGAUGAGGCCAAGGGGGAAGAAGACCCCCUUUAUAUAGUGGGGGAAGGAAUCAGACCGUUACCCCCACUAUCUGCCCGAGCUCCAGCGGUACUACCGCUGGCUGCAGCGGUACUACCGCUGGCACUCCAGCGGUACUACCGCUGAUUGCAGCGGCACUACCGCCAGCUAGCGGUACUACCGCUGGCACUCCAGUGGUACUACCGCUGGCCCCAGCGGUACUACCGCUGGGCCUCUGGUAGUGCAAAGGCACUACCACCGCCAAGAUAGUCUUCGCAAAAAGGUCCGUCCAUGAACAACCGCUAGGCAGGCGGUACAAAGCUCCUGGAGCGGUACUACCGCUGACCGUGGCGGUACUACCGCCAACUCUAGCGGUACUACCGCUAGGUCCAGCGGUACUACCGCUCGCCACUGAAACAGCCACAACUUUCGCAUACGAGCUCCGAAUCGAGCAAACCCAAGCUUGUUGGAUUCAGGACGACAAGAGCUAUCCAAACAACCUUUCUCAUGGCAAACAUCCUUUAGGAAGUGUACAUAGAUUUAACACUGAACCCCUUUUUUACCUAGCAUCCACACCUUCAUCAGUCAAUGUGGUGGAGUGGCAAACAUCCAGUAGGUCUUGCCAUUGCACAGCCAAUUCCCCCCGCAAGCAUCUAUGAGAUUGGAGACAUGUCCCUUGAGAGUGAACAACUUAUAAAAAUUGACAUUUUUGCCAAAUGUAAGGUUAUAUAGACUUUGAAAUCUGGAAAUAAUAGAUGGCAUCCAUGUGAUUGGCAAUUAAAACCAUGUUUGCUUAGUUUUGAGUCCGUCUGUUCUCGGUGGUGCGAGCUCAUGCUGCAUUUUGAGAUUGUGUACAUAAGACGGUAAGACUGUUUGUAGGAGGAACUGGCUAGAGCCAUGGAUAGCUUAAGGUGGAGAAACAAGUGAAAAUCCAUGGAUACCAGCUAAGCGAAUGUAAUGGAAGAUAAUCCAUGGAUACCAGCUAAGGGAAUGUAAUGGAAGAUAAAUUCUACACAGUUUGCCAUGGGUUUUGAGUCAUGUCCUAAGCCACGUAUACUCUAUGUGCCCGCUGGCUUUCUGUUGGGCCUUGUAUAUUUGGUUUCUGGGAAGUACCGAGUUAGAAGAAAACUGUGCUAAGUGCUUACCUAGCAUAUAUUACCAGCCAUCCUCGUUAAGUGAAGUGCCAUUUGGAACACUAUUUUGAGCCAUAAUACACUUUUACCUAUGACAAUGACUUGUUUCUCCUAGUCACAACUCUCCAAUCUUUAGCAUGAACUACCCUUAUUAGACACUCAACUUUAACUGUACUUCCAAGUUUUUGAAGUUGAUUCGAGAAGUUCACUCUCUCCAAUCCAGGAUGUAGGUUUCUUUUAGAGUUGGGCACACGAUUAAUGGUGUAGGUAGCAAUGUUACCAUUUAUUUGUCUCUACAAUAAAUACAAGUGCUAGAGUUUCUUUUGGCAGCACAAUCAAUACUAGAGUUAUUACUAAUACUUGAUGAAACUAAUGAGGCGCUAAAUAAGCACACCAUGAGAAGAAAUGUGAUGUACUACAAUACUAGGCCUUAUUUGUCAGUUGAAAAGGCUAAACCACAAUUUUCCGUAUUUGCCAGUCCUUGCUGCUAAAUCUCGUUAGACUAAAUUAUCAGUUCCUCUAUAUCCGCAACCCCAGCCUUCAAGUUCUAAACCUUAUCUAGUCUAGAUUAAAUAAAUAUCACAUGUCACAAAGUAAAGCGAAGCAAUUGGUCUUUCCUUGUGCUUUCUAUUGGAACAGUCUCUUUCUAUCUGUGUUCCUGUAUUAUUCAGCUGCCACAUUUUGGUUCUUUAAUUGUCAACAAGUCCAAGUUUUUGCAGCCACUUUGAUGCAUUUGGAUUUAGCAAUUUCAGUUAUUACGUACACGAGUCUUUCUUGAUUAUAUUGCUUUCAAUAUGGUUAUCAUAUCUACUCACAAUCAUCUCCCUUUUGCUGAAUAGAAUUGAGAAGCUAAAGCGUGGUUUUGGUAUGCACGUCCCUGAAGAGUUUAGGUAGCUGGAUAUAAUGCGGGGUUCCUGCAUUUCUAAUAAUCAGUUUAAUCACCUCCCUCGGAGCUACCUAUUGGAGGGCAAGUUUGUGAUUUCUACUGAACUUGACAUGGACGCUUUUUAAGUAGUACUUGGAGUGUUGGUGAGCAGCAGAUGUAGCACUCAAGUUGUGAUCACAUGAUCUUGUGGUUGUACUAUUGAUGACCUUGGUCCUACUAAUUCAGUUUAUUUGCUGAAAGCUAUGUUUGAAAAUGAUGCAAUCUGCCAGGCAGCACUAAUUUCUCUGCAGCCUGUACUUCUGAGUGUUAUUGUCUUGAUGUAUUUUCUCACCAUGGGAAGCCUUAGGUAUACGUACAAUUAUCGGCUUGUAAUAUGUUCCUAGUGCUAUACUUCUCUAAUAUAUUUAUAUAUGUAAAUAUAUAUGUUACUCUUGUAUCAUCUCUUCCUAG